rnacentral:rRNA from 1 species
GAUGAACGCUAGCGGCAGGCUUAACACAUGCAAGUCGAGGGGUAGAGGUUGCUUGCAACCUUGAGACCGGCGCACGGGUGCGUAACGCGUAUGCAACCUACCUUUUACAGAGGGAUAGCCCAGAGAAAUUUGGAUUAAUACCUCAUAGUAUAUAACCUUCGCAUGUUGGUUAUAUUAAAGUUUCAACGGUAAAAGAUGGGCAUGCGUACUAUUAGAUAGAUGGUAAGGUAACGGCUUACAAUGGCAACGAUAGGUAGGGGUCCUGAGAGGGAGAUCCCGCACACUGGUACUGAGACACGGACAAGACUCCUACGGGAGGCAGCAGUGAGGAAUAUUGGACAAUGGGCGCAAGCCUGAUCCCGCCAUGCCGCGUGCAGGAAGAAGCAUCUAUGGUGUGUAAACUGCUUUUGUACAGGAAGAAACACCCCGACGUGUCGGGACUUGACGGUACUGUAAGAAUAAGGAUCGGCUAACUCCGUGCCAGCAGCCGCAGUAACAC